rnacentral:snRNA from 1 species
GUGCUCACUUCAGCAGCACAUAUACUAAAAUUGGAAUGAUACAGAGAAGAUUAGCAUGGCCGCUGCGCAAGGUUGACACGCAACUUUGUGAAGUGUUCCAUAUUUCA